rnacentral:tRNA from 1 species
GGAGAGGUGUCCGAGUGGUUGAUGGAGCGCGUCUCGAAAACGCGUAGGCUAACUGCCUCGUGGGUUCGAAUCCCACCCUCUCCGCCA